ACGGGUGUCCGUCUAAUGGCAGGACGGUGGUCUUUGAAACCAACGGCGAGGGUUCGAAUCCUUCCACCCGUA
rnacentral:tRNA from 2 species